AUUGAACGCUGGCGGCAGGCCUAACACAUGCAAGUCGAGCGGAUGAAGGGAGCUUGCUCCUGGAUUCAGCGGCGGACGGGUGAGUAAUGCCUAGGAAGCUGCCUGGUAGUGGGGGAUAACGUCCGGAAACGGGCGCUAAUACCGCAUACGUCCUGAGGGAGAAAGUGGGGGAUCUUCGGACCUCACGCUAUCAGAUGAGCCUAGGUCGGAUUAGCUAGUUGGUGGGGUAAAGGCCUACCAAGGCGACGAUCCGUAACUGGGCUGAGAGGAUGAUCAGUCACACUGGAACUGAGACACGGUCCAGACUCCUACGGGAGGCAGCAGUGGGGAAUAUUGGACAAUGGGCGAAAGCCUGAUCCAGCCAUGCCGCGUGUGUGAAGAAGGUCUUCGGAUUGUAAAGCACUUUAAGUUGGGAGGAAGGGAAGUAAGUUAAUACCUUGCUGUUUUGACGUUACCAACAGAAUAAGCACCGGCUAACUUCGUG
rnacentral:rRNA from 1 species